ensembl:miRNA Gm23365 predicted gene, 23365
GGUUUCUCUGUGUAGCCUUGGCUGUCCUGGAACUCACUCUGUAGACCAGGCUGGCCUUGAACUCAGAAAUCCACCUGCCUCUGCCUCCCGAGUGCUGGGAUUAAAGGCGUGCGCCACCACUCCCG